rnacentral:rRNA from 1 species
AUGGUGGAAGGCUCGGAGACCGACAUCAUGAACUUGAAGUUCCUCCUGCUGUGCUUCCAGUAGAUGUUUGGCCUCAGGAUCAACUUCGAUAAGAGUGCGGUAAUGAUCUUGGGAUACUCCCAAGACGAACGAUAGAGCAUCGCGGAUCGGCUCAAUUGCCAGCUUGGGUGUUUCCCCACGACUUAUUUGGGGAUCCCCAUUAGUGACUCGAGGCUCACGGUGGCUGAGCUUCGCCCCAUGGUUGGGAAGCUUCAACACCGCAUCGAGCCUUGGCAGGGUCAGUGGCUCUCGAAGGCGGCCCGGGCAGUGCUUAUUAACUCGUCCCUUUCCAGCCUACUCUUGUUCAUCAUGAGCUUCUACAGCCUCCCGGAGACUCUACACCACAAGAUUGCCACUGUUCAGGGACGCUUCUUCUGGGCAGGCGAGGGAGACAAGCAGAAAUACCACAUGGUGCGAUGGUCGAAGAUAUGUAAACCGCGCGACCAGGGUGGUCUCGGGAUCAUGUCCUCCAAACGCAUGAACAUUGCCCUGCUAACGAGAUGGCUGUGGCGGAUUGCCAACGGAGAAGGUGGCCCGUGGCUUCGCCUCAUUCAGCAGAAAUACCUCCGUGGCUAG